GACUGGGCUGAAGGUAGUGAGUUAUCUUAAUCGAUUCUUCACAGUCAGUUACAGACAGAAGUUCCUGUUUUACUCUUUCCCUCCUUCUCACUGCUACACUUGACUAGUCUAAA
rnacentral:Y_RNA from 1 species